UGAAGAGCAAAAGAAGAAGGGAAAAAAACAAGUAUUUACGUUAGUUUCAACAUUCAUUCAGGCACCACACACACACACAAACCAGAAAAAACACAAGCCAAAUAUACAAACACAGGCCCAGAGCACAACCACCUGUGGCUUGAUAAAACAGCUUUAAUGAUGUGUGGGUGGACUUACUGUAAACAAACCCUUUUAAUUAGAUUUUUACAGUACUGUUUUAGGUUCCAGUGAAAGACAGUAUUGCUUCAUACCCUCUCAUCUCUUUGGUACAGUCAUGUUCUGGUCAGUCCUGUGGGUUUUGGAGAAGUUAUUUAGUCUGUCACUGAUCUCAUUGAACUCUAGGCCAAGAGAAUAAAAAUCAAUGCACCAUUUGUUAGGCUUCAGCAGCCCAGCCAGCAUGCAUAGCACUGGGAACUCUACAGGGGAUUCUUUAAAAUGAGUUUAACAGUAAGUGACCUUGUUAGUGAUACCAGGUGUCUGUGAGUGUGUGCAUGCAUUUGGGCACAUAUUGUGCUCUAAUAUGUCUUCUUAUGUGUGCGUGUCCAUGUUCGUGUGUGUGUACGUGUGUGUGUUUGUGUGUACUAGUCCUGACAGUUUUGGGCCUGGUCCUAAUGGUGUGGAGAGAACAGUCAGUUCCAGGAGAUGUGGUGAUGACUCACAGGGCUGUCCUCCCAGCUCCUUCCCAGCAACAGCUUAGUCAUGCCAGCUACAGCCACAAUCAGUGCACACACACUCACACGCGCACACAUGCACAGGCAAGUGCAUGAUGUAUACACACUGUCUAAUGCUCUCAUAUGUUUACAUAAGUAUAAUGCAUGCUUGCAUUACAAACACACAAGUAAACAUCCACACAUAGCUCUCAAACCUCUAACUCAGUAUGACCUUAGGCGCAUGCCUCUGUUAAAGCCAACCAAAAGGCGUCUCCAUUCCCGUGCAAAUCAGUACUCUGACGUGUUACUUAUCGAAAUUUAACCUUGGCAGUCCAUGCAUGAUCCAAAAACAAAAAUCCUUUAUUCUUCUUCCAGUCUUCAGCUGUUUAAUUGAAAAAUGUCUUUCAAACAAAUAUUUUGUCUUUCAGUCACAACACAGAUAAGUGUGUGUUCAUUAGCACAACUCUACAGGCUCCAUAAGUACAAACCCACAUACUAGGCCACACAUUUUCAGAACUUAAUG